UACGUAGGGUGCAAGCGUUAUCCGGAAUUAUUGGGCGUAAAGAGCUCGUAGGCGGUUUGUCGCGUCUGCUGUGAAAACCCGAGGCUCAACCUCGGGCCUGCAGUGGGUACGGGCAGACUGGAGUGCGGUAGGGGAGAUUGGAAUUCCUGGUGUAGCGGUGGAAUGCGCAGAUAUCAGGAGGAACACCAAUAGCGAAGGCAGCUCGCUGGGACGGUACUGACGCUGAGGAGCGAAGGCAUGGGUAGCGAACAGG
rnacentral:rRNA from 1 species